AGCGAGAGAAGAUAACGAAGACGACGAGGAAGAAGAGGGAAUGAUUCGACUCCUUCUCUCUUUUCCUGUUCUAUUUCCGUUGACUGUUUUUUUCUUUUUUUCUUUA
rnacentral:ribozyme from 12 species